rnacentral:rRNA from 1 species
UGGGGAAUCUUGGACAAUGGGCGCAAGCCUGAUCCAGCCAUGCCGCGUGGAUGAUGAAGGCCUUAGGGUUGUAAAAUCCUUUCGUUGGGGACGAUAAUGACGGUACCUGGAUAAGAAGCCCCGGCUAACUUCGUGCCAGCAGCCGCGGUAAUACGAAGGGGGCUAGCGUUGUUCGGAAUCACUGGGCGUAAAGCGCACGUAGGCGGAUCUUUAAGUCAGGGGUGAAAUCCCGAGGCUCAACCUCGGAACUGCCUUUGAUACUGGAGGUCUCGAGUCCGGGAGAGGUGAGUGGAACUGCGAGUGUAGAGGUGAAAUUCGUAGAUAUUCGCAAGAACACCAGUGGCGAAGGCGGCUCACUGGCCCGGUACUGACGCUGAGGUGCGAAAGCGUGGGGAGCAAACAGGAUUAGAUACCCCGGUAGUCCCUGAGCGGGCUGGCAAGGCGCAU